rnacentral:lncRNA from 1 species
AAGGAGGCUCACUUGAUAGUUGGAUCCUUCUAAAAUUCUUUGUCAUAUUGGGCCAAGUUUUGUUUUCCUGAUUCCCACUUGUAUCUACUUCUGACCUCAAGGGUUGGCAAACUGUCCUCUUCCUCGCAGGCUUUUUAAAUAGAUGAGAUUUUCCCUCUUUAGGUAAACAUUCCCACCAAGUUCUUCCUAACUUUAUACGAAAUGGCUUUCAAACUUAGCAUAAACUCCUCUCAGGGGUGGCGAAUCACAGAGGAGCAGUCACUUGUGUCUCUAUGUUGAGCCCUAAUGCCCACCUCUUCCAGUGGGGCCCCAUAGCCAAUACAGGAUUGUUAGGCAGACCAAAUGGCUCUUUUCUCAUGCAUUCUGAGUUAUUUAGACCCAAGAAAACAUUUGCAGGAAAUGAGCAAUCUGCUGGUGGAU